GUCGAACGCUGGCGGCGUGCUUAACACAUGCAAGUCGAACGGUAAGGCCCUUCGGGGUACACGAGUGUCGAACGGGUGAGUAACACGCGGGUGAACUGGCCUGGACUUCGGGGUUAGCCUGGCAAACGGGGUCUUAUUCCGGCUAGGAACACAGCCUUCAAGGGUGGUGGCGGAAAGCUUUUGCGGUGUGGGAGGGGCCCGGGGCUUAUCAGCUUGUUGGUGGGGUGAUGGCCUACCAAGGCGACGACGGGUAGGCGGCCUGAGAGGGUGACCGGCGACACGAGGGCUGAGAGACGGACCAGACUCCAACGGGGGGCAGCAGUGGGAAAUAUUGCACAGUGGGGGCAAGCGUGAGGCAGCGACGUUGCGGGAGGGAUGUCGGUCUGCGGGUUGUAAACCUCUUUCAGCACCGACGAAGCGCAAGUGACGGUAGGUGCAGAAUAAGGACCGGCCAACUACGUGCCAGCCGCCGCUGUAA
rnacentral:rRNA from 1 species